rnacentral:rRNA from 1 species
UACGGAGGGUGCAAGCGUUAAUCGGAAUUACUGGGCGUAAAGCGCACGCAGGUGGCUGAGAAAGUCGAUUGUGAAAGCCCUGGGCUUAACCUGGGAAUUGCAGUCGAAACUACUCGGCUAGAGUAUGGGAGAGGACAGUGGAAUUCCCGGUGUAGCGGUGGAAUGCGUAGAGAUCCGGAAGAACACCGGUGGCGAAGGCGGUUAGCUGGGCAGUUGCUGACACUGAGGCGCGACAGCGUGGGGAGCAAACAGG